rnacentral:rRNA from 1 species
GGUUGAUUGACGCUGAGGCACGAAAGCGUGGGGAUCAAACAGGAUUAGAUACCCUGGUAGUCCACGCAGUAAACGAUGAUGGCUAACCGCUGGGUCCUACGAUUCAGUGGCCAAGCGAAAGCGAUAAGCCAUCCACCUGGGGAGUACGACCGCAAGGUUGAAACUCAAAGGAAUUGACGGGGGCCCGCACAAGCGGAGGAACAUGUGGUUUAAUUCGAUGAUACGCGAGGAACCUUACCCGGGCUCGAACGGCUGGUGAAGAGAUCCAGAGAUGGUGACGUCCUUCGGGACACCAGUCGAGGUGCUGCAUGGUUGUCGUCAGCUCGUGCCGUGAGGUGUCGGCUCAAGUGCCAUAACGAGCGCAACCCUUGCCGUCAGUUACCAUCAAGUAGAGUUGGGGACUCUGGCGGGACUGCCACCGCAAGGUGUGAGGAAGGGGGGGAUGACGUCAAAUCAGCACGGCCCUUACGUCCGGGGCGACACACGUGUUACAAUGGCGGCCACAGAGGGGCACUACCUGGCGACAGGAUGGGAAUCUCGAAAAGCCGUCUCAGUCCGGAUCGGAGUCUGCAACCCGACUCCGUGAAGCUGGAUUCGCUAG